GAUUAUUGAACUGGCCCAGAUCAAGCCUGGACUGAUGGAGGAGGAAUGUCUCAAACAAGCCAUGUUCAUCACGCAAAAAAAGCAGACCUUACUGCAGCAGUUGGUGGAACUUUUGAAUCAAACAGCCGAAACUGUAGCGACUCUCAUUGACGUGGAGCUUCGUGA